GGGGUCGACUGGUUUUGACAGCGAGAUUAAUUAAACGGUAAGCACGUCGUGUAAUGACUUUGAAACACGUUAAAGGCUAGGUCAAACUUUUAAACGGCGAGAAUAACUACGCUUUAGCUGCUUAAUCUGAAUUAUAGUAAGAUUUGCCUAGGUACACAAGGUGUACAAGCUAAAUGUCUCCGGAAAGCCUUGAUUGACGGCGUUCCAUUUUGAGGCAUCGUAAAUGUCAAUAUAGAAAGUAGGGCGCUUUGACCUGCUUUUGAAACUAAAAAAGAUAAGUUGUCGCUAGGCUGUCUUUAGCCAGGUUGCAAUCGAAAACACAAGAAAAGACUAAGCGUGAAGAAAGCUCUUUAGUUACUUGUUUGGACGAGAGUUCGAUUCUCUCCGACUCCACCA
rfam:Mangrovimonas sp. DI 80 WGS_KM_S5._contig_6, whole genome shotgun sequence.